GCGGGACGAAAAAUUCCCCAGUAGGUGCUGUGUUUGCUGAGGCCAAACCCAGUUUUCAAAUCUUCUUAAAGACAGGAGAAGCAAGGCAUUGGCUGAGGCUGAGGAAAUGCCCCCUGAGGGUAUUAACCGUUUGCACCAUCCAGGGACCCCAGUGAAAACCACUGUAACGACUACUUAGCUAAAAGUUUAAAUAAUUUGUUCAAAGACAUAAACCUCCCAAGUGGGAGAGGUAGGAUUUGAACGCAGGCCCACGCUCAUAACCAUUUCAAGAUGGCGCUCUCUAUAAUAUAGAAGGUAUCUCAGUAAAGGGGAGCUUCUGUAAAAGGAACCAUCUUACUGUAGCAAAGAACAUUCUAGCAGAGAUAUUCAGAGAGGCAUAGAUUGGAGACAUUUGAAAAGAGGCGGGCAGUUCCUUCAUAGAGGGAGAUCAGGCAUGGCUAGAGGGUUGGAUUAAAUAUCAGUGAUCCUAACAAGAAGAGCUACCACUUUCCCAGUGUUUGUGAUGAGCCAAGCACUAUGCUAAGCACUUUACAAGCACCUUUUAGGUCUUUGGGUGGCAUGAACAGUGUGCUCAGCUACUACGUGAAAGGUUCAAACUCACCCCAGUGGUGCCCUGGAAGAAAGACCUGUGACCUGCUUCCGUGAAGAUUACAGCCAAGAAAACCCUAUGGAGCUCAGUUCUACUCUGUAACACAUGGAGUUGCCAUGAGUCAGAAGGGACCAGACAGCAACAGAGUAUGUUUCAUUGGCUCGACUGCUCCAGGGCACAGACCCUAAUUGGAUAACAGAAACAGAGUUCAAGGUCACAGAGUUUGGAGCUGGAACUCCAGAGAGUAACGGGCUGGGACUCAAACCGAGAUCUGUCUGACUCCAAAGCCCUUGCUUUUUACAGCCAUAUGAUACUGGUUGAUUUUAAGGUCUCUUCCAUCCCCCAAGAUGCUGUAAUUCAAAAUAUCCACAGGGAAAGGAUGCUACAUCUGCCCAUGUGGUUUCAUUUUAGCCUGUGUUGAUAUUUUUACUGAGCUCUUGGAGACUGCUGGGGGCCCCAGAGUCUGUUCCCUGUCUUGAGUCAGUCUUCUGGCACGUUCGACCAAACUUUUGCCAGAUUGUUCUGAUUUUUUCUCCCUCACAUUUUACUAUCUGUGUUUCUUUUAAGCAACAGUGAAUGCCCCAUAUUCCUGGUUUCAUCUGUAUUUAAAUAGAUGGCUUCGCAAUUGCUGAUAUCAUGUCCAGAAAAGCUUGUAAAUCCUCGUUUUCUCUGAGUCUGCCACAGCCCCUGUACCUCCAGCUGAGCCUCAAAAUGCCUCUUUGCAGACAUAGGGCUGAAGCCACAGGUAGAAGGGGUGUCAGUUAAGCCUAAUCUAGUGGCUUUUUCUCUCCACUUCCCAACCUGCCCCCAAGGAUCCUGUCAUCUGGCCCUGGAACUCUGUUUUUUUGGUUACUCUCAAGUGGGCUCCCACUCAUGGUGACCUUAUGUAUAAAAGAAUUGAUUACUUUUGUGUGUGGCCUUUCUAGCCAUGGUCUUCUAACUGUGUGAUAAGGUAAUUGUGGCCCACCCAGGGGACUGAUCAGUUUCGCCUUAAAAGAGAGCCAAUUCAUGAGCAGAGAGGAGGAUCCUACUACCACCAAAGAACUGCCAAAAGCAGAGAUUGCAUCCUUCAGACCCGGGAUCCCUGCACCGAGAAGCUCCUGGAAGCAGAAGAUCAAAAGAGAGAGCGAGCUAUAACCCUGAAGACGGUGAGAAGUGGUGGCAGGAGAGACCUGGCCACAGGAGAUGGUUUCCCAGCCCACGGAGAGAGAAAGCUGAGUGCCUUUUGGGAGAGGCCAAGGGCCAGGGAGAGGUGUGCCUAUGAGUACGGCUGGGAAGAGGCUGUCCUGAUGGAAGAACUGUGUCCUUGAGUGUUCCUGAGCCUGAGUUAUAACCUGUUACUUCCCUAAUAAACCCUAUAAUUGUAA